rnacentral:lncRNA from 10 species
CGCUCAUCUUCAUAUCUUGUGACACAUAAACUACAUGUGAUUAAAGUGGUGACACUAAAAACAGGAACUGGUAGUAGGCUGACAUUUACGCAUGCAUAGUCCGUCAUCUGCUGCCAUGUGACAAGCAGUUCUGCAGGUGCACUUUAUGGCCCAUUCUCUACCAUGGUUGUUGCUCCUCCUUGGUCUUUUCAUAGGGUCAGGAACACUGGGAGAAGAUACAGUGGGGAAGAUAUCCUUGGGGAGUUGGCCACUUGGCCCCUGGAGGUCCCAGCAGAGCAAGAGGUAGAAAGUGUUACAUGGAGCUCUUGAGAGCGUGUUGCUGUUUUACAACAAGGAUGAACAGACAAACCAGUUCUGGUUUCUGAGACUCAGGGACCCUACAGUGGAUGACUGAACAUUCCCCACCACAGCUACUCUCUUCAGAUCAGCCCCCUGAGGCUGCAGGACUAUAAGCCUAUAAGCCUGGGUAACUCUGCAUACUUCCUCAAUCAUUAUCACCAGGGAUUUCACCCUGCUUGUCUAUGCCUCCUUUGUACCCCACUCCCUGAGGAAAGAAUUUCUUCCUUUUUUGAUUCUGGGAGUUUUGGGGAUUGAAUAGAUUUCACCUGGACAUGGGGAGAAACCAAGAAGAGAAGUACGAGAUGGCGGCCAUCCUGUGAGACACAGAGUUAAAGAAGUUCGCAUGUGGAGUGCUGCCUGAGGCCAGCAUUUCCUGGUGUGAGAGAAGGACAUUGACACUGAUUAAGGCAUAAACCCUAUUUCAUUUACAAACUGAGUUCAAAAUUAUCAGGAAACUGCUAUGUGUCUUCUGUUUAAAAUAAUCUGUUUAUGUUUUAUUGAAGUGUGUUUUUAAGUGUUCAGAAAGAAAAAGGAGCUUAUUUAUUUAAGAAAAAUUGAAUGGAACAUAAAAACAUUGUUAUUGUCACACAUAUAUAUUAUUAAGUUUUUGUUAAUGUUUAAAUAACUAGAUUCAGCCCAGCUUCAGCUUGAAUGUCAUCUCCUUGGAGCAGCCUUUGGCCACUAUACUUAAGUAGAUCUUUCCUCUCAUUCAUAAUCAAUGUAUGUUUAAAAAAAUAAUCUGGAGUCUGUUAGGCUGAGACGGCCCUAGCAAUCUGGGAUUCUACACAAGCAAACAGAAAACCAACUCAGAAUGACUUAACCAGUCGGAAACCACCAGGUAAUCUCUAAAUGGGGAAUUCCAUUUAAGCCAUCAAAUAUUUUCUUUUCUUCUUUUUAUUUUGCAUAGAGACAGGAUCUAACUCUGUUGCUCAGGCUGGUCUCAAACUCCUGGCCUCAAGUGAUCUUCUCACCUUGGCCUCCCAAAGUGCGGAGAUUACAGGCAUAGACCACCAUGCCUGGCACACUUAUUUGUUGGUUUACUUAUUUAUUGUUUAUUUCCCUCACAAGAUAUUCAGCUCUAUGAGGAUAAGAACUAUUUCUAUAUAUAUUUUUUCAAAACUAAAAACCCAAAGGGUAAUAGUGUUUGGCUUAUGAUAGAUACUUCAACAUUUACUGAAUGAAUGAAAGAAUGAAUUGGAGUUGAGAAUAUUUUUUCUUAAGAUUUGAAGACUAUUAGGAGGUUUUACAAGGAUCUGGGGCCUACACCAUUGUCUGUUUUCUCUUUCUGCUUUUGAUGGAGAGAAGCAGCAAAUUAAAUCUUUAUCCUAAAAGUUUCCUAGAAUGCUCAACAGUUAGCAAAAGAAAAAGUUAAAAUAAAAGAAACAUUUAUGUUUUGUUUUGACAGAAAGCUGCUCUGCAGUGCUAGAUACGUUAAUCUAGAAUUUGAACCAUAUACAAAUAACUGAACCAAAAGCAAAAUUUAGGUGGGAAACUUUGAGCUUCUCUUUCUUUUUCUUACUCUCAGUUGAUCAGCUCAUUUCCUAGUUCAUUCACAGAGAGGAUUGGCAAAUAUCACCCAUUACACACAAAGCUUCCAAUCAAGUAGUUAAUGACUUAUUUGGAAAUAUAAGAGGGCAGACAGGAUCACAAGAUAUUUGGGGAAGGCCUCUAACAUGAAAGACAAUCUCCAAACCAAAUGAAUCAGGGGGAAAAAAGAAACUUGGAAGAAAAGAGAUAAUACAGGGAGCAGGAGAAAAUUAAAUAAAAUCCCUCAAACAAUAUUCUUAGAGACAUAUAAAAAGAUUUUCACUUAAAAACAGAAACAGGGUGCCAGCCUAAGAAAAACUGAAAAGUCCAAGAGUAAGAAAGAGCCCUAGUAACAAUAAAUACAUAAAUAAAAAGCAGAAAACUUCUAAAAUUCAAUGGAAGUGUUGGAAAAUCAAAUGAAGAAACUCUCUCAGAAAGUAGAACUAAAGACAAACAGAUGAAAAUAAAAGAGAAAAGAUAAGGCCAUUAAAGAAUCAGCCCAGGAACUCCAACCCCUGGAUAACACAGUUCCAGAAAGGGACAUGUCUUAGUCUAUUUUGUGCUGCCAUGGCAGAAUCCCACAGAUCGGAUAAUUUAUAAACAGUAGAAUUUUAUUUGUCUCAUGAUUCUGGAGACUGGGAAGUCCAAGAUCAAGGGGCUGCAUCUGGUGAGGACCUUUUUGCUGCAUCAUAACAUGGUGGAAGGCAUAACAUGAUCAGAAAGUGAGUGUGUGUGUGUGUGUGUGUGUGUGUGUUUGUGUGUGUGAGAGAGAGAGAGGGGAGGGGGCUGGACCCAUCCUUCGAUUAGGAACUCACUCCCCCAAUAACUAACCCACUCCCAAGAUAAUGGCAUUAACCAAUUCAUGAGGGCUCUUAAAAUUCCCACCUCUCAACUCUGUUGUACUGGGGAUUAAUAGAGGCAGCAGGACCAGAGCACCCAGUGAAAGACAUUAUCAACUAUAGGAAAAACAAAGAAUGGUUAGGAAGGAAAUUGAAUACUCUACAUGGCUCGAAUGUGAAUACUUAUUGUCAUAAAUGUUAAAUACAGUUUAGCAAAAAGCUAUGUUACAACAUACUCUGGCGGGAUGGGCAGAAAGGCCUUUGUGUUGCUGAGUGGCUAAAGAGUGUGGAGGACAGUGGAUGAGAGAGCCAAAUACCUAUCUCCAUAGCAGGAAGUCAAUAACUAAUGUCUAAAAUCAAGAAAGGACAGAACAAAUAUAUCAUUUCUAAAUAUCAAGGAAGUAUCAUGAGAAAAAACAAAUAAUUGACAGUGGUUGCCAGCACAACAGUUGCCAGAACAGCAGUUCUGGGUGUAGUGUGGCAGAAGACUGCUGCUUUUUUUUUUUUCAAAAUUUAUUAUGUCUUAUGCUAUUAGUUGAAUUUUAUAACUAUAUAUAUGUAGUAUUUUGAAAAAAAUUAAAAUAUUAGAAAGCACAUGCACCAAGAGAUGAAGAACAAUAACCAAAAAGAGAACUCAAAGGUCUAGGAACUUGACUGGGUGGAAAUGGGAGGAUUUUAAUGGGCCACGGGGUUCUACAGGAAGAGUGAAUGGUUUAAACAAAGAGGCAGAGACUAAUCAGUCAAAUUUUAGUUGAAACAAAAUUAGAGUUGAAUAUCUUUUCUCCAAAUCUAGGUCCAAUUAUACAUUCAACAAAAUUCAACAUUACUGACUAGUUAAUAUUUAUGCUUAUUUACAGAUAUAACAAAAUUUCAUAGCUAGGGAAGCAGUUCUGGGGCUGUCAGUGAUCUUGCUUGUUAUUCCAGACAACUGUCAUUCAGGGACUCCAGGUAGCAUGAUCCUGAGAGCAAAUGCACCAUUGUUAAAGGCAUAGACGUAUAAAUACAAACCUCUGCCACAGAGCACUAUUCACUCUUUGCGUCUGAAGAGAACCAGAACCCCUUAACUCUUGGGCGGCAGCCUGCCGUCUGAAUGUGAAGGAGAAGGAAGAAUUAGUACAAUGCCUGUUUUUGAGCUCUUCAAGUCACCAGCAUUUUGUAGGAGUGGAAUGCUUCAUCUCCUGGCCCCUAACUUCGGGGUAGCAAAAUGAGAAGCUAAUGCCUGCUGGAAAGGGUCCCAAGAUAGAGAAGCUAAUGCCUGCUGGAAAAGGUCCCAAGAUACUGAAAGCUCUGAGAUUGCACUAGAAGAGAAGAGCUCAAAUCCUGCCACUUACCCACAAAAAGCCAGGGAAGUGAGUGUCUACUGGAAAUUGUUUUAGGUGUGAAGUAUGAACUGUAUGUAUCUGAAGGCUUCCUGCCUUGGUGCUGCCAGAUGCCCUUGCUGUGUGACAGGAGGAGGUGAGAACAGGUUGAAAGAGGAGGAAACGACUAAUGACCCUUAGGAGCAGAUCGAUUACCACCCUAUGAAAGAGUAAGUUGACAGUUCAGACUAUGCAAAAACAAAUUGUUGGAAAAGCCCCCUUCAUUUUUCUUAGCCGAAAAGUAAACAGAUUGCUACAAUCUGGCAUCUCUGUAGUUUUACCCACUCUCUCCACACCCCAAAGUACAGCCAUUAAAGCCCCACGGUCACUACACAUGUCUCUGUGUUAUGACCUUGCUUUUCUUUCUCCUCGAGGGGACUCAUUGACCUUUCUCCAUCUGGCUCAAUCUGUGUCAAGUUGCUUCUUGACCCAUUUGUUUUUCCAUCGGUUGUGAGCUCUUUGAAGUUAGGGGUCAUGCUUUAUCCAUCCCUGCUUCUUGGCCAUAGCACAUAGUUGGUGCUCACUAAAUACUUGCUGAAACACUUGUCAACUAAAGAAAAGCCAAGUUUUUAAAGAAUUAAAGUGAGUUUUAUUUAGUCUUACUGAGGUUGGCAACCCAGGAGAGUCUUUCGGAGAGUUUCUGUUAGACUGCUCCAAAGCAGUGUUUCAGCCUACAGCUUAUACAUAAGGUGACAGUCAUUCUGCCUGUGCUCAAAAGUUAUGUAAGAGCAAAAUUUCACCAAAGUUUGGGUGCAAGGGUACAUCUAGUUAUAGAUUACAGAGGCAUAAUGAUUAAUCCUGUCAACCAUUAUCUUAUGUACAGCAAAAAGACAAAGGCCAGGAUCAUUGAAUUUAUCUUUUCUAAAAAUGCAGUGAUUUAGGUAAGAGAUGUGGUAACCUGGGCUCCAUCCUUCUUAUCAUCUUCAGGGCAUCCUUCCGAAGGGCUGUCCUCAGUCACUGAGUCAGGGGCUUUGUGAAAUUCUGCUGGCAGCUGAAUGAGCAAACAUGGCCUCUUAUGUUUGCUACUUUGUCUUACAGAGUAAGUGAAUGUAAAACAAAAACAAAAACAGAAUGAAUGAAUGAAAGUCUCUGUGAGAGAAGCAACCUAUCCAUUGCUGUUUGCCUUUCCCACAGUUCUGGGUUUGGCUAGGGAGAGUUCACAUCCCUGCUGAUGUUUAUUUUAAAUUUCGAAGCAAUAAGGAAAUUGAAAAAUGGACACAAAAUUCAGGGGUAUCUAUUUCCUUUCUAUUCAUACAGCCUUAUAUUUUGCCUUCUAAGCUAUUCUUUUCCUUGUAUUCUUUUUAGACUCUCAUUCAGAUUAUGUUACCUCAAUAUUCUUCCCUUAGAAGACUUUAAGAAGCAGAUUCCAUUCAACAGUUUUACUCUACAGAAAUACUGUGUGUAAGGCCGGGUGCGGUGGCUCAUGCCUGUAAUCCCAGCACUUUGGGAGGCUGAGGCAGGUGGAUCCCCUGAGGUCAGAAGUUUGAGACCAGCUGGCCAACAUGGUGAAAUCCCAUUUCUACUAAAAAUACAAAAUUUAGCUGGGUGUAGUGGUGCACACCUGUAAUCCCAGCUCCUCAGCUACUCAGGAGGCUAAGGGAGGAGAAUUGCUUGAACCUAGGAGAUGAAGGUUGCAGUGAGCCAAGAUUGCACCACUGCACUCCUGCCUGGGCAACAGAGUGAGACUCCAUCUCAAAAAAAAAAAAAAAAGAAGAAGAAGAAGAAGAGGAAAUACUGUGUGUUUUCCUCAGUGUUCAUGAAGCUUAAUGUGCAGGUAUUUUCAUAAGGUUCUAUAUUUUAUUGAAAAACAGACAACAAAACAAGAAACAGACUAGUAAAAUUGCUGAAUAUGUGCAUGGUUUGCCAGCUGGGCCAAGAGGAGGCAGCAGUGAGCUAACCCAGGGCUUGCUGUGUGGCUUGGAGGAUCCUGUCACCAUCAGCCUGCAUUGUGACCUUGCUUUCAUUUUCUCUCUCUGAGAUGAGGGAGUUAGACUACAUGAUCCUUAGAGUCUCUUCCAGCUCCAAAAUUCUCUGUGUAAGUUUUAAAUAGAUGUUUGGGACUGAUUUAGGUCUGGGAAGAGAAAAGUGAAGGAAACAGACAAAAAUUCCCUCCGUUUAUGAAGCUUACAUUCCCAUGGGGCCUUCCAGACCCUACGGUUGUCAUAGUGGCGAGGAGGCUGCCUGGAUUGGAGGGUAUGAGGCUGGGUAGGAAGUCAGACCAGGGCUUGACCAGUAGGCAUCAGACAGAUCCAGGGACCAGGCAAAGCAGGAAAUGAAUGAAAUUCACUGGGUCCAAGUGAGAUGGGAGCAGGGAACAGGCUCUCCACAGAGCCAAGCAAUCAGAGGGAUUGUGCUAGGUCCCUAACUGACCAGGAGGAGACAGGCAGAGUUGUACCCACAGGACAGUUGGGCCUGCAGAACCUCCAGAACCAGAAAGUCCGUUUAGCAGCCUGACUCAGCAAGGCUUGCUUCUGCUCCUGGGGAGAUGCACAGGUCCCAGCAUGCAAGUGACUGGGAGGGAACAUGGAGAACACAGCAAAGAGGAGGAGCUAGAAAGAGCACCGGAGGAGUGAGGGGAGGAACAGCUCAGAGCCUUAUAGCUGACAAGCCUUCUGUAAGGGUGGCGUGAAUGAGUGAAUGACACAGAGGGGAGUGUUUGCUACUUUGCUUGAUCUGUGAGCACUGGUCAGCUGCCUCUUAUUAUAUGCCUCAACUUUAUAAUGAUAUGAUUAACUGCUAUUCUCAGGUCUUCAGUUACUCUUUAUACUUAAAGUUCUAGAGGCUCAGUUCUGAAUGGAAUCUAUAUAAUUAGCCAGUAGUCUCUUUAUGAUGAGGUAACUUCUGUCGAAGGACUGUGAUGUUAUACUCUGCUGAACACUUUACGUGUAUGAUUAUCUUUACCUUUAAUCUCACUACAAUCCUAUGAGGUAGAAAGUAUCUUUCACAUUUUAUAGAAGAGAAAACUGAGGUUCCAAGAAACUAAGCAUUUUGCUCAUGGUCAUAGGACUAAGAGAAGAUACAUGACGUCCAGAGUUGCUUUUCUCUUUCUCUCUCUCUUUCUCUAUCUCUUUCUCUCUCUCUCUCUCUCUCUCUCUCUCUCUCUCCCCCCUCCCCUCUCUGUAUCUCUUCCUCUCUCCUCUCCAAGUUUUCAGUGUGGUGAAAGUAAUGCAGAUUAGUGACUAACCACUGUGGGUAGCAUGGGUUUUUUCUUCUUUUUCCCCUUUUUAAUUACACAUCCUUUCCUUUCGUUUUCCUGGUGCUCUAAGCCAGCUCACCCCUGGUUUUUUAUUCUGCCUUGUUUGGGAUGGAGGUGGUAUGCAUGGAAGAGCAAAAGCAAAAACUUUAGGUAGCCUCAGCCCUAAAGUAGAGCCAGGAUCCACACCAAUGUCUCCUCUUAACUGCCUCAACCACUUGCCUUGCUGUCUGCCCAUCUUUGAAGUGGAGAUCUUAGUGGUUAGCCUCUGGGCCUCACCUUCAUCUCUCCCUGUCCUCAUCUUGUUUGCUUUCUUCCCAGACUAACUCAGCUCCAGGAUUGUCCCUUCUGGAAGCUAUCCCAUGCGGCUGUCCCUGCCUUAUACAGGAUCUACCUUGGCAGAGGGAAAACAACUCUUGGUCCUUGUCAUGGUAAAUUUUAUGUGUCAACUUGACUGGGCUAAGGGAUGCUCAGAUACCAGAUAAAAUAUUGUUGCUGGGUGUUUUCAGAGGUCAUCAGCAUUGGAAUCAGUAGAUGAAGUAAAGAAGAUUGCCCUCACCAAUGAGGGCAGGCAUCACACAUCUAUCGAGGACCUGAAUAGAACAAAAACGCAGAGAGGAGGGAUAAGGAAGGACUUGUUAAAGAUUACAAAAUUAUAGCUAGAUAGGAGGAAUAAGAGGAAUAAGUUAUAGUGUUCUAUACCACUCUAGGAUGACUACAGUUAACAAUAAUGUACAGUUUUAGAUAACUAGAAGGAGGACAUUGAAUGUUCCCAACACAAAGAAAUGAUAAAUGUUUGAGAUGACAAGUAUGUUAAUUACCCUUAUGUUAUCACUACAAAUUAUAUGGCUCUAAACAUCACUAUGUACUCCAAGAAUAUGUACAAUUAUCAUUUGUCAAUUAAAAAUAUAUACAUACCAUGGAAUACUAUGCAGCUAUAAAAAAGAAUGGGAUCAUGUUUUCUGCGGGAACAUGGAUGGUGCUGGAGGCCAUUAUCCUUAGCAAACUAACACAGGAACAGAAAACCAAAUACUGCAUGUUCUCACUUAUAAGUGGAAGCUAAGUGAUAACUCAUGGACACAAAGAAGGGAACAACAGACACUGGGGCCUACUUGAGGGUGGAGGGUGGGAAGAGGGAGAGGAGCAGAAAAAAUAAUGAUUGAAUAGUAGGCUUAGUAUCCGGGAGAUGAAAUAAUCUACCUGACAAAUCCCCAUGACACGAGUUUACCUACAUAACACAUCUGCGUAUAUACCCCUGAACCUAAAAUAAAAAUUAAAAAAUAAAAUAAAAACAGAAAGGUGAAGGAUGGAAGGAAAUUAGUUUCUUUGCUUGAGUUGAGACAUCCAUCUUCUCCUCCCCUCAG